CAUUCUCAACCUUUCAAGCUUAUCUCUUUUGUGGGCUUGAUUAGGCUUGGUUUCUGGAAGCUUGCUGGCUUUUGUAAAAUCAGCUCUUCUUAAAUAUAUUUGCUAGAUCAUUGUUGAAUCAUCUUUCAAUAAUAUGUAAUAAUUAUAUAUAUAUUAUUGAUUAAGUUAGUGACUAUCAAAAGAUCUGGCUUCCAAAUAUGUUUUAAAGACCACUAGUGUUUUUGAAUC
rnacentral:misc_RNA from 1 species